GACAACUGGAGGCCAGAGAAUUUUGAUUGGUUAUAAAGGGCUUGACCAAAAACCUGGGGCAAUUGUGGGGCUGUGACAGAGGCAAAAUUCUGGGGUUGGCCUGCAAAAGGGACCUGUAAAUGGGUGGGAGGCCUUAGGACUUGUUGUGAAUUUGGGUUGUGGGUAAGGUCUAAUGUUACAGUUGGGAAUGGAGCUGAAGCUGAAAUUGUUGCCAUACUGGAUGAGCAUGGAAGGAUUGCUCUCGCUAGCAAAUUUGGGUUCAUUAACCCAUCUGCACUUGACAUUGACCCAGAAAGUAGCAUGCUUGCAGCUGCUGUUGU
rnacentral:misc_RNA from 1 species